rnacentral:sRNA from 1 species
CAGUAUAUGGGGAUGAUUCCCGCACAUUCAACGGUGGGAGCGCAGGAAAAACAAAUGGGGGAUAAAAUCCCCCAUUUUGC